AAAAAACAUAGCACACAACGUCCAGACGCAACUUCUAAAAACAGAAAACAAACUUUCACAGGAUUGUUUUUAACAAAAAAAUGUGAAUAAUCACAAUUGAUGACAAGAAAUUGUGUUGUGAUUGUUCCCUUAUUUCUUACUUUCUUAUCUACUUACUUUAUUAUAGCUUGUAUUAACUUAUAUAUUUGAAAGCACACGAGCAUUGUUUGCAGUUUAAAACAGGUUUUCUGAAGUAAGAGCAAAAGUUUCGAAUGCGCUUCAAUAUACUCAUGACUGACAAAGAGUUCAUCAUUAACUUAUUCAGGAGUUUCAGUUAUAAUCUCAGAAGAUAGCUCCGACCGGGUAUCAAAACUAGAGAAAAAGGUUAGUGCUUUAUAGCAUUGUGUGUUUUCUCAUAUUUCAGUUGUGUGGUUCUGUCUGUUUGAUGUAGUUAUUGUUCCUUAUUUUGUGUAUGAUAUCCUUUUAAUUGGCUUAAUUGAUGUGUAACUUGCUGGAAAAUUUUGUGUGAGUCUGCGGAUGUAGGAGUUGAUAAAGAGACUUGAAUAAGGUAAGCUUUCGUGAUGAAUUGGUAAAUCAUUUUCUAGAUUCUGAACCUUGACUUAUACUGAAACUCACGCCAUAAAAAGCACAAAUUCAACGUAUUAAGUGAAUAAGGUUUGAACUAAUAAUCCUUGAACAAUGGCUGGUGGAGUUGCACUGAGAGGUAAGAUAAUAUGAGCCGAGGAAACAACCAAAUGACGACAGGGAGGAUUCUGAUUUCAAGAUGAAGGAUUGCUUCCUCGGCUGCAAAGACGGUUUGACGACCACCAUUUAAUACAAGGUUUGAACUGGUGAUCUUUUCUCUCCAAGACUAUUCCCUUGGGAAGGUAUUUCUAAUUACCAGAUAAAGUCCAUGUAAGUCAUUCAGUUUAACCAGACAAUAACUAAUUCCCUCUCUGAUAAUUCUGCUGAUCAGCUUCUUUUUGUUUUUCUUGAUGCGAGAAUGAAUCUUAGUUCAAGUGGGUUACAAGGACCAAUAGCCUUUUCCUUUAGAGAUCUCUCCCUCCUCGAGUUAUCGUAAGUGUACAAAUGCAAGCCAUACAAACACACACUUUCCAAGAGCUUUCUUCAGUUGAAAUGGAACUUAUUGACAAACGGUUUGAAGAUGAAGGAUUGUUUGGCUGCAAAGAAAAUCAUUCAGUAGCCAACAAAGAAAUAACUUUGUGUGAAUCUGCUGAUGUAUCUAUUAAGGAGUUGAUAAAGAGACUUAAUGAAGGCCCAAAGUCUUGGCGUUGAGAACUUGAUGAUGAUAGAUAUUAUAAACUUGCAAAUAUUUGCAUUAUAUAUUCAGAAAACGAGAAGCAGGUAUUUAUCAUUUCUAUCUAGUAAUAAUUUAUAGUCCCCAAGUCACUAUAAGUCCUUGUUUUUCAUUUUUAGAUUGGGUAUGAAUUCAAUGGAGGCCAAUGCAAUGGAAAAGCUCCGACGUUUUCUUUAUGAUAUGAUUAACAAUGAUAGAGUCAUGUUCCGUUCCCAAAGUACUUGUUUUAUAAAUUGACUUUUUAAGGAUUCCUGUUUCACUGAUCAAGUGUUUUUUUACAGAAUCUCGCUUCGUUUUUUUCCUAUCUUGCUUUCCAUUAGUUUCUAAAAGUGCUUUCAGUCCAAUGUCUUGGCGUUGAGAACUCGAUGAUGCGAAAAAAGAGAAGCAUGUAUUUAUCAUUUCUAUCUGUUCACACCAUCGAAAGGAUAAAACCAAUGUAUAAAGUCAAUAAGGUUUGGACUGGUGAUCCUUGCUCUCCAAGACUAUUCUUUUGAAAGGAAUUCUACUGAUGAGCUUAGUUCAAGUGGAUUACAAGGACCAAUAGCUGUCUCAUUUAGAAAUCUCUCCCUUUUUGAGUCAUUGUAAGUAUACAAAUUCAAGCCAUACACACACACUACCAACCUCUUUCUUCACAUUAUAUAUAAGAGUCAUGUGCAUUGUUUUCCCAGGGAUUCAUAAAACAACAACCUAAGAAAGGGAUUUCUUUUGACAGACAUUUGAUAAUGUAUUUGUCUCUGACAUUUAUUUGUGUCACAUGAAUUUGAAAGGAAAUUACUUGACUGGGUUUGCCCCAAGAUCUCAUAGGAAAAAAACAAUGGCUAGUGAACUUGCACAGAGAGUGUAGAUGAAUAGAGCAUUUUUCACCCAUGUUCAGAUUCGUCGUGUGCCAAA
rnacentral:sRNA from 1 species